rnacentral:rRNA from 1 species
GACGAGUGGCGAACUGGGGAGUAACACGUGGGUAACCUGCCCUUGAAGUAGGGGAUAACACUUGGAAACAGGUGCUAAUACCGUAUAACAACCAAAACCACCUGGUUUUGGUUUAAAAGAUGGCUUCGGCUAUCACUUUAGGAUGGACCCGCGGCGUAUUAGCUUGUUGGUAAGGUAACGGCCUACCAAGGCAAUGAUACGUAGCCGACCUGAGAGGGUAAUCGGCCACAUUGGGACUGAGACACGGCCCAAACUCCUACGGGAGGCAGCAGUAGGGAAUCUUCCACAAUGGACGAAAGUCUGAUGGAGCAACGCCGCGUGAGUGAUGAAGGGUUUCGGCUCGUAAAACUCUGUUGUUGGAGAAGAACAGGUGUGAGAGUAACUGUUCACAUCUUGACGGUAUCCAACCAGAAAGCCACGGCUAACUACGUGCCAGCAGCCGCGGUAAUACGUAGGUGGCAAGCGUUGUCCGGAUUUAUUGGGCGUAAAGCGAGCGCAGGCGGUUUCUUAGGUCUGAUGUGAAAGCCUUCGGCUUAACCGGAGAAGUGCAUCGGAAACCAGGAGACUUGAGUGCAGAAGAGGACAGUGGAACUCCAUGUGUAGCGGUGAAAUGCGUAGAUAUAUGGAAGAACACCAGUGGCGAAGGCGGCUGUCUGGUCUGUAACUGACCCUGAGGCUCGAAAGCAUGGGUAGCGAACAGGAUUAGAUACCCUGGUAG